CCUGUCCUAGAGGCCUUGCAGGUGUGGCUGCUGUGUCACAUGUGCAUUAGUAGGUGACAGAGAGGAAAGAGGUUAUGUCUAUGCUCAGUGUUUUGACCCAUGAACAUCAGUAAGCCUGAGAUGGCCACCAGU